GGAAAUUUUUCCGCAAUGGGCGAAAGCCUGACGGAGCAAUACCGCGUGAGGGAGGAAGGCUCUUGGGUUGUAAACCUCUUUUCUCAGGGAAGAACAAAAUGACGGUACCUGAGGAAUAAGCAUCGGCUAACUCCGUGCCAGCAGCCGCGGUAAUACGGAGGAUGCAAGCGUUAUCCGGAAUGAUUGGGCGUAAAGGGUCCGCAGGUGGCAUUGUAAGUCUGCUGUUAAAGAGUUUGGCUCAACCAAAUAAAGGCAGUGGAAACUACAAAGCUAGAGUGUGGUCGGGGCAGAGGGAAUUCCUGGUGUAGCGGUGAAAUGCGUAGAUAUCAGGAAGAAC
rnacentral:rRNA from 1 species